CACUUCUCAGACGGAGCAGCCGGGCAGAGACGCUCCUCACCUCCCAGACAGGGUUGCGGCCCAGCAGAGGCGCUCCUCACAUCCCAGACAGGGCAGUGGGGCAGAGGUGCUCCCCACAUCUCAGACGAUGGGCGGCCGGGCAGAGACGCUCCUCACUUCCUAGAUGGGAUGGUGGCGGGGAAGAGGCGCUCCUCGCUUCCUAGAUGGGAUGGCGGCCGGGCAGAGACGCUCCUCACUUUCCAGACUGGGCAGCCAGGCAGAGGGGCUCCUCAUAUCCCAGACGAUGGGCGGCCAGGCAGAGACGCUCCUCACUUUCCAGACGGGGUGGCGGCCGGGCAGAGGCUGCAAUCUCGGCUCUUUGGGAGGCCAAGGCAGGCGGCUGGGAGGUGUAGGUUGUACUGAGCUGAGAUCACACCACUGCACUCCAGCCUGGGCACCAUUGAGCACUGAGUGAACGAGACUCCAUCUGCAAUCCCGGCACCUCGGGAGGCCGAGGCUGGCGGAUCACUCGCGGUUAGGAGCUGGAGACCAGCCCGGCCAACACAGCGAAACCCCGUCUCCACCAAAAAAAAACGAAAACCAGUCAGGCGUGGCGGCGCGUGCCUGCAAUCGCAGGCACUCGGCAGGCUGAGGCAGGAGAAUCAGGCAGGGAGGUUGCAGUGAGCCGAGAUGGCAGCAGUACCGUCCAGCUUUGGCUCAGCAUCAGAGGGAGACCGUGGAGGGAGAGGGAGACGGAGAGGGAGACGGAGCGGGAGAGGGAGAGGGAGAGGGAGAGGGAGAGGGAGAGCUACAUUAAAUUUUAAUAAUCAUUUACACUCUCUGGUGGGAUAAGAGGCUUCUUCCCCUUCUAAUUUUCUUUAUUCUUUCCUUUUCUUUUAUUAUUUAUCCAUUUAUUCAAUUUUUCGUAGAGACAAAGCCUUGCUAUGCUGCCCAAGUCUCAAACUCCUGGCCUCAAGCAGUCUUCCUGCCUUGGCCUCCUAACAUGUAGGGACUGCAGGUGUAAGCCACUACACUCAGCCAUUCCGCUUCUAAUUUUCUAUAUUUUUCAAACAUCAGUAACAAAUUUUUAGUACUUCUAUGCAUUAAGUGCUGGCAGCUUCUUUAAAUGUAACCCAGACUACUUUAUGACAGGCAGUAAAAAUAUGUGAAGGGGCUGCUGUAUGCAGGUAGUCCAUAGUAAGUAUAUUUGGGAAUAAGUCUAGGAAGGGAAUUGCGGCAAUUCCUACUUUAAUUCUUUUAAGCCUUACAGUUUUGAUUGUGUUACAGCAUCUCCAGCUUCAGGAAUGAGUCCCGGUGUGUUAAAUCGUUUAGGGUAAUCCUGUUUCCUUAGCACCUUGAUUGGUUGAGAAGUAGACUGAUCCAGGGCUGAGCCAAUCAGUGCAUGACCUCCCUGGCCAAACUCAUUGGUCGGGAGUGGUCCAAUCUCCUUAGGGCUGGAAUUUUGUUCCUGGUUUAGGGAAAAGCAUCCUCUCUCACUCUGUGCAUCCUGGAGGCUACCUUGAGAAGCUAGACCAGAGGCAAAUACAAAACAUAGUGGAAGGGACAACAGAAAGAAUCAUAGAAAAGCAGAGUCCUGUUUGAAGGAGACUGGACGCCAAUCACAAUGUCAAGACGUUUCACUUACCUGAAACAGUAAAUCAUCCUAUCAUUUGAGUAACAAGAGUCAAACCAAAGUAUUUUACCUGAUAACAUAGAGAACAUAUUGGGUGUUUCUUAUGUACCAGUUGUAUUAUACAUGUUAUUUCCUAUAAUCUACACAAAACAAUGCUGUUAAGUUUUACUACUCUUUUUUUUUUUUUUUUUUUUUUUUUUUUUUGAGACGGAGUUUCGCUCUUGUUACCCAGGCUGGAGUGCAAUGGCACGAUCUCGGCUCACUGCAACCUCUGCCUCCCGGGUUCAAGUGAUUCUCCUGCCUCAGCCUCCGGAGUAGCUGGGAUUACAGGUGCUCGCCACCACGCCAGGCUACUUUUUAUAUUUUUAGUAGAGACAGGGUUUCACCGUGUUAGGCCAGGCUAGUCUCCCAACUCCUGACCUUAGGCGAUCCACCUGCCUUGGCUUCCCAAAGUGCUUGGAUUACAGGUGUGAGCCACCGUGCCCAGCCAGGUUUUACUACUCUGAUUUUAAAAUCAGGAACUAGUGAUGGUGAUUUUGGUGAACCAUCCAAGGUCAUAGACCUAGCAAUAGUUUUGCUAAUUUUUAUUUUGCUAAGUAAGAACAUUAAAAAAAACCUCAUCAUGUUUUGUCAUAACAAUUUCAUAAAAGGAAGAAUAUUAUAAUAAAAAAUUAAGAUGACCUUAGUCCGAGAAUAAAAGACAGCUCUCAAGAAAGGACUUUUGCCAUCAUCAUGGAUAUUUUCCUCUGGACAGGAAAAAGUUCAUCAUGUGUAGGUGACAGGCCAGCUGCAUAAAAAGUCAUAUUUUGAUUCAGCAGGAAUUGAGCAAGUUCUGGAAAUGUGUUUUUUUUGAAACGAACUGCAGGUAAUUCUGACAGGAAGCCAGGAUGGGGAACUACUAUUCUGGGAGACAUAAAGUGUGCUUCCAUUGGAACAGGUCCCUUUGCCUGCUUUCUCCAGAAGUUUCUUUCCUGUUCUCCAAUCUGCUUCUAUUUGCAUUUCAGGCUGUAUUCCUCACCUUGGCAGAUCCAUGAAUCCUGUCUCUUCCGGUCUGCAGUUCUGUUAACUAAACAUUACUUUUCUUUCUCUUGUUGCCUCAGUGAUUACAUUCAAGUUUGACUAUUGUUUUCUUACUCAGAACUACCCAGGGAAGAAAAGACUUCUCUCUGUGCCAUUAACCAUAAACUCAAAGAGGAAACAGUGGCAUGACUAUUUCCAAAGACCUCAACCUGAGACUUCCCUGGAAGGUGGGGAGUAAUUCAACCUGAUAAAUAAUUUACGAUUGUAACCUUUGUCAAUAAUUUUAUUUGAAUAUAUUAUAUUCCUUGGGAGAAUAUUAGAUUGCAUUUUGGGAAUAGAUUUAAUGAUUCCUAUGAACUGAAGAUAAUCAUGAUAAUAUGGUCCAUGUCACUAAAGAAUUGUCUGAGAGUUGAUUGACACUUUCUGUGUUCUUUUUUCCUCCUCAGUUUCCAAUAGCCAGAGACUUAUUAUGUUAAUUUCCAGAGCCCAGCUGUUGUUCACUUUCCUCUUUUUCUUUUUCUCUCUAGCUCUUUCCCUCUGCCCUCUCUCCUUCCUCCUCUGCCCUCUCUCCUUCCUCCUCUGCACGUUGCUUCUGCUACUGACAUUUCUAGCAUACAUCUCUCAUUCAGUUUCCCUUCUCAAGGUGAGGAGAUCUAAUUUUGUUGGUUUGUCUUUACCCAAUAUGGUGAGUUCUUACUGGGACAAAUUUGGGUUCAGGUACUGGUUUCUUGGCCUGAUCAACAAUGAUUAGGGUAGCAGGACUAGUUUCACUGCAAGCAUUCAGCCUCUUUUCUCCAAAGGUUUUAGUGGGCGAAGUGUAGCUGAAAAAUCUUCUGGGGCUCUAUAACCCAUUGAGUACAAUCUAGCUUAGCAAAAUGCAGAAAACUCCCCAGCCAAGGUUUAGCUAGGGGGAGAGAGAGAGAGAGAGAGCACGUGCGCGCAAGCACAAAAAGACAUUCUAAGUAAUGACUGCUCUCUCCUUUUUCUUUAAUAUAGAGAAAUGUCUGGAUAUUCUCAGUCAUGUAUGGCGGGAAAGCCCAGACAGACAUUUAUUUGCUUCUUUAGCAAUUUCAGAAUGAAUGCCCAAAGGUAUGAGAACUUGACUCCCUGCUUCCAUGUUGUCUUUAUGGCACGAGGUCUGCUGACCUCUGCAGUCAUCUCUCACUAAUCUACAUGUACAGAAUGCCCAGCUGUAACGAAUUAUUUGCCUUUGAUUGUUCAAUACACUUGCAGAAGCAGCUCUCUCUCUCUGCCUUUUCAACCUUUCUCAACUGUAUUACCUGUCGGCUUCUGUUGAAUUCAACAUAAGCAAGAUCUCCUCCAUGAAACUUCAUGAGUGUGGUUGUUAGCCCGCUGUGGCAGGCUCUAUUCCUUGCCAUCACAAAAACCAUUCCUCUAUCCACUCUUUCAAGUGGAGGCCCCAUUUGUUCAGAAAUCAGGCAAGGAUUUUAGUUCUCAGGAAAGGUAGCUUCGGCAGCUGGUCUAGGAACUGUCAUGGGACAAAUUAAGAGGCAAUAAGAUGUAAAGGGAAGUUUGUUGGAGGAGUUUGUUGGAGGAUAAGUGUUUUUAUCUCCUUGAUAAGAGAAUAUAAGCAAAAAGAGAAACUCACCUGUCCACACCACCUCCUGCUUCUAGCACACCUGACCUAGCAAAAGCACACUUGCUAGGACAGGUGUGCUAGGACACUUUUGCACUGCAGCCAUCAUUCGACUUUGACAGGAAGGUCAUUGGAAUUGCAAAGAUGGCACUCUUUAUGUCAUUGAGCCACUGAGCCCCAAUUUGUUGAAGCACUGCUAAUUAUUUUGUUGCUUACCACUGAAAGCAUUCCUAACUGUUAACCUCCUCUGUGCGCAUAAAUGCAAUCACUGAAGUAUCCCUGUCAUGUCCUCAGAAUCAGUUUUGCCUGAGAGUGAAAACGUCUUCACUCUUAAACAGUACCAUAUUACUGACAACAGGAAAACAUCUAUAAUUGGUGUAUAUUUGGACACACAGUCACUAUGCCAAUAAAAAUAAGACAGCUACACUGGCAAAAGGAUCUCAUCCUAUCUUUGAGUUGUAGAGUUUAGUAUAAACCCAUAUUGACCAAGCAAAUUGUCUUUGCAGUAUGCCUGCAUACAGAAAUACUAGAAGGAAAACUUCUUUCAACUGAGUAGAAAUAAAAAUAAUUUCUGAUCUAAUGAUUUUCAUAGUCUCCCAAUAAGAAGACCAAACCUCACAUUAUGAGAGCCAAAAAUCAUCCAUCAUCAGCUAUAUAUGUUUCUUGGUCUACAUUAUUUCUGUCCCAGACACUGGAAGUCUGGACUUCUCCCAGAGAAGAGAACUGUCAUCCUGUCACAUGAUUGCAAUUGGCAAGUCUUACCAAGAAAGUUUGGCAGAUCCUUAGAACAGGACUAACAUAUGUUUUAUAUAUGUGUGGGUAGGUGUAUAUAUAGCCAUCCAUCUACAUACAUAUAUGUAUACUUAUUUAUUUAUAAGCUCUAGUUAAAGUUAGAAAAAUUAAUUUAGAUGCAUAUGGAUAAGUCACACAAAUUAGCACUAGUUUAAAAGGAAUUAGUAUAAUCCUAAAAGAAAUCAUUUUGAUUUUGUUAAAGUAAAAAUGCCAAUGCAAAUUUUAAAAGCGGAACAUCAUGUUAAUAACUUUUAUCUUUAGAUUAUUGCUCAUUUAGAGCAAUGAUUCACUCACUCAUGCAACAAGUGUUUAUUAAACACCAACUACAAAGACUUAUAAGACACAAAGUCCUUGCCCUGGUGAAUCCUAUGGUCUAGUUGUAGACACACACACACACACACACACACACACACACACACACACACACACAGAGUCAUUCAUUCAUUCAUUCGUUCACUCACUCAAAGAUUAUUAUUGAGGACUUUCUUCGCCUAUCAUGUGUGCUGAGAUUACAGACAUGAAAAGACAGAAGACACUUGCACUCCCAGAGCUUAUGUAAUAUGGGGGGAGGUGGAGAAAAACAGUAAACAAACAUUAACAUAUACACACAUAAGAGAGUGAUAAAUGCAAUGAAGAGACUUCAAAUUGAAUAAUAUGAUAAAAAAUAACUGAGCUGCUACUUUUAAAUGGGUGGACGAGGAAGACCCCCUGGGAAAACAUUUAAGCUGAGACACAGGAGACCGCUGGAAAAGGAUGGAAGGUGAAGUGAAGGUCUUUUUGCUGCUCUUUUUGCUAUUAUUAUUGUUUUAGUUGUCAGUGUGUUUGUGUGUGUGUAAGAAAGGAAUUAUUAGAACUGGUAUAUGACAAUGGGAGUGAUUGAGGAAAGAAGUGAUGAUUCAGGGAAGAAUGAGCAGAGAAUUGAGAAACAAAACCUUUAAUAAGGUGAGGGGGGCAUGAAUUCCAGAGUAAAACCAGAGAGUGUACCAGUGACAGCAGCAGAGACAGUUGCUCUACAAUAAAUUGAGCAGGCAGAAAAUAGGUAUAGAGUGAGGAGGAUAGAUAAUAUUUGAUUGGAAAGGUGAGGGAAUUCUUGUCAAACUACUUCUAUUUUCUCAAUGAUUUAUGAAGCAAUGUUAUAAGCUGAGACUAUGAACAGUAAAAUGGGUCAGGAGAUUUAAGGAGUUAAGACAUGAGGUGAAAUUAUCAUUUUGGAAAGUGGGAAUGCAAAAGUCCUACAGGUUUAAUAAUACUGCUCUUGACUACCCACUUGAGAUUUAUAGCCAGAAUUUAAAGUGAUGCUAGCAAGCAUACGUUUUUGUCUUCACCAGUGUUCAGUUGUGUUGUUGCAUGGGGACCAUUGGGUAUAAGAGGGUUGCAGCUCGGCUAAGGUGAAGGAGGGUGGCAGAGGCAAGGGAGUGAAGGGUGUUAUCAAACAGUGGCUUAAUAAUGUAUUACAGAGUCUAAGGUGAGUGAAUAAGGAAGGGAGUACCUGAAGAGGACAGAUUGAUAGUGAUUCAGUCAUAAACUCACCAGAUUAGAGAGUCUUAAUAAAGGCAAGAUAUUGUUUGUAUAGAUAUUCUUGGUUUAGUGAGCUUUUAGGAUAGAAGACAAUAGUCAAAGAAUGGGAUGCUGGUACUAGAGAUACUGGAGAUGAUGGACUUAUUGAUGAUUACAAGGUCAGAAGUAUGACCUUAGACAGGAGUGGAUAGCUGAUGGUCGGUGAAGAAUUAUAUCAUUCUAUUGUAAGGUGGGAGGAUCUGGAAACUGGAGUCUAAGGUAUUAGAUGUAAUAUUUGAGUGGGCAUUGAAGUCAGAAAGAAGGAAGUGAGUGAGAAUAACAUCAGAAUAAUAAUGAAAAAAGCCCCAAUGAGCCAGGUGCUAAAUUUAUCAAAGAAUAAAGUUAACUGAAUUCUCUAGAUGACAGCAACAAGGAAGGGGAAUAGGUGCCAAAGUCUGAUGGCACAGGGCCAGGUGUGAUGGCUCAUGUCUGUAAUCUCAGCACUUUGGGAGUCCAAGGCAGGAGGACUGCUUGAGGCCAGGAGUUCAAGACCAGCCUGGACAACAUAGUGAGAUCUCAUCUUUACAGAAACCCAAAAAACUCUGAUGGCACAACUUUAACAGAGCCUGGGGUUUGGAAGGAUGCAGGAAGACAACAGGUCUGAAAAUGGCACUGGAGAACAAGAAAAGCACUCACCCCACAGCUUGGUCUGGUUACGUAGGAUGCAAAAGAAGAACAGAUUCCACCGCAUAUGACUGCAACAGAAUUGAUUUCAACAGGGCACAGCCAGGUUUUACCUAGAGCAAGAAAGGAAAGGGAACAUUCAAGAUGAUGUUGAGGAUGCAGUCACACUUGUUGAUGAUGGAUUGGCAGCUGUAGAUGGCUGAGAGGAAGGGGUUGGGAUGGCAGAAGUGAAAGAGUAGGUCAGAUGAGUAGAUAUACAUAGUAGUGCAAGAACGAAUAUCUAGGCUAGGGGUCAGCAAAUUGUUUAAAUAAAGGGAAAGAUAGUAAAUAUUUUAAGCUUUGUGGGUCAUAUGGCCUCCGUUUCAAGUACUCAACUCUGCCUUUUACUUUACAAAUUUUUAUUUAUUUAUUAAGUUUUUAAAGAGUCAGUAAGCAUCUGUAGGUCUUGGACCCCAGCGGGGAGAUUGGACAGAUGGAGAGUCUAGCAUGAGGAGAGUCUAACUGCUUGAGCUAAAGCCAACCCUCUGCGUUUUUAGAGUGAAAGCAGCUGUAGACGAUAUGUAAAG
rnacentral:lncRNA from 1 species